rnacentral:rRNA from 1 species
ACUACGGGUGGCAGCAGUGGGGAAUAUUGCACAAUGGGGGAAACCCUGAUGCAGCGACGCCGCGUGAGUGAAGAAGUAUUUCGGUAUGUAAAGCUCUAUCAGCAGGGAAGAAAAAUGACGGUACCGUAUUAAGAAGCCCCGGCGAACUACGUGCCAGCAGCCGCGGUAAUCCGUAGGGGGCAAGCGUUAUCCGUAUUUACUGGGUGUAAAGGGAACGGAGACGGGAGCACAAGUCGGGAGUGAACUGCCGGGGCUUAACCCCGGAGCUGCUUUGGAAACUGUGCCGGUAGAGUGCAGGAGAGGUAAGGGGAAUGCGUAGUGUAGCGGUGAAAUGCGUAGAUAUUAGGAGGAACACCAGUGGCGAAGGCGGCUUACUGGACUGUAACUGACGUUGAGGCUCGAAAGCGUGGGGAGCAAACAGGAUUAGAUACCCUAGUAGUC